GAGAAGGAGAAGGAGAAGGAGAAGGAGAAGGAGGAGAAGAAGGAGAAGAAGGAGAAGAAGGAGAAGAAGGAGAAGAAGGAGAAGAAGGAGAAGGAGAAGAAGAAGGAGAAGAAAAAGAAGAGGAAGACCUAAACAUUUGCAUCUUAAACAUCCUGUUCUUUUCUUUCUUUUUGAGGAAGUGGUUCCAUCUGUACCUAUUGAUUCUAUGUGUCCAUGCAAGGAGGUGAGAUCAGAAUCUUCCUACAUUGCCAUCUUGAACUGGUCUCAUAGCAACUUUGAGAAGAAGGAUAUGCAAAUUAGUGAAGGGGUUUCCAGAACAUCAGUGUUUAGAAUCAAAGAGUGGGCCUAACCAUGACCUGAGCAAAACAAUAUUCAGAAACUCCUGUGAAUGUCUGGAACCCUCUAGGAUGGGUACGAUGUUUAUAGAUGGGGCUUCGAGGACAUAAGUGACUUAACUCACUUGGUUGUGAAAAAG